GCAGAUCUAGGGUUUUGAUUCUGAAGUCUAGUCUGCUCCCCAAAAUCACUAGAACCAUAAACUUCUCUCCCCCAUCAUUGAUCGAAUCAUCCUCCGCUCAACCAUCACCGAUGGAAUCAUCCUCCGCUCCACCUCACUGUCAACGACGUCCCCUGAAUCACAUGGCAACGAUUUCACACCGUCCGUUCGCACCACCACUCCGUCACCGGAACACUCGCAGUCAUCACCGGCCACUCGUUUCAAGCCCUUAGAUAUAUCAAAAGUUUGACUUAAGGAAGAGCUGGCUAGCUGGGGGAAUUCUAGAGGCGAGGAAUCCUACAUGCUAAUUUUCCAACAAAUGGUAAGUGGUGAAAAUGUUGGAAGUCGACACAAGCUAAUGAUAUCAUGACUAUGGAAGUCUGUAACAGAUGUACAAGAUCCAUUGUGAAGCGACCGUUUUUCAUUUUUCAUCUACUGGUAUGGUUUAGUUUCAAUGUCAAAAGAAUCCUUGUAAGUUAUUGGUUUGUUUGACCUCAAAAUUCAAACUUGAUCAUUUUUCAUCUACUACUGGUGUCGUUUAGUUUAUUUUUGAACAACCAAAUGCAACUCUUGGAUCAUGUAUGCAGCUGGUCAAUAACUUAUUAAGACCUGCUAUCAACAACCAACAGAUUCUCUCCGAGUCUAUUUCAUUACUGGUAAGAAUCUUUCUUGAUUCUUACUGAUAUAGACAAAAAAGGGUGCGAUUAGUCUUGAGAAAUUGAGUCAGGUAUGUUUAUUCAUAUACUUUUCUUAAAUUUUUGUUUUUUUUUAUUUCAUAUAACUAUGUGAAUCACAAUUGUAUUUUGUUUUCUUUGCAACCAACUUGACCCAUUAUUACUUUUCGUUAAUUCUGAUUUCUUGAUUCUGUUUAUUGGUUUUUUUGUAGAUUGAAAAGUUGAACUUAGUUAUCAAGGAGCUCGUUAAGGAAAAAGACGAAGAAAAAGAAAGGUUCAAUGGAAUUAUUGCGGGGUUGUUGGCUGAAAAAGAAAAAGAUAAGGUGGAUAAAGAUGCUAUGCUUGAUAGGAUGUCACAAAUUGAAGCUAUGUUAACAGCUACAGUUCGAAGAUAGGCUAUAAACACUUGGUUUUGAAUGUUUAGAUGUUUAUCUUAUUAGGAUAAUUUUAGUUAUUUUAUGUUUUAGUUGGUAUUUUUAUAUGCUUUUGAAAACGAGAUGUUUUAUAUAAUUUUGUGAUUUUAUUAGACUUUUUUUUAUAUUAUUUGUAGUUUUAUU
rnacentral:lncRNA from 1 species